UACGAAGGGGGCUAGCGUUGCUCGGAAUCACUGGGCGUAAAGCGCACGUAGGCGGGUCUUUAAGUCAGGGGUGAAAUCCUGGAGCUCAACUCCAGAACUGCCUUUGAUACUGAGGAUCUCGAGUCCGGGAGAGGUGAGUGGAACUGCGAGUGUAGAGGUGAAAUUCGUAGAUAUUCGCAAGAACACCAGUGGCGAAGGCGGCUCACUGGCCCGGUACUGACGCUGAGGUGCGAAAGCGUGGGGAGCAAACAGG
rnacentral:rRNA from 1 species